rnacentral:lncRNA from 1 species
GAGAUUCAGAGAGGGGAUGGCUCGACUACCAGAAAACAUGAGGAGAUGGAUAUUAUUUUUAGAACUCAUUUCCAGGAACUCUUCUCGGCUAGCCCUUAUCAGAAUCCCGAAGAGGUCCUCCACUCCAUCGAGCCCAUGGUGUCAGAUGAUAUGAAUAAUGCCCUCACCAAACCGUACACGGCUGAUGAGAUUGUACGAGCUUUGAAACAGAUGCCCCCUCUCAAAGCUCCGGGGCCGGAUGGUAUGCCUACUAUCUUUUACUCCUCUUGUUGGUCUAGUGCUAAGUAUGAUGUUAUUCCCACGGUGCUUAAAAUUCUUAACAAUGAGGCUGAUCCUGGUCCCUUAAACUCCACUUUUAUUUGCCUCAUUCCUAAAAAGAAAAAGUGUACUCUCCCUGCAGAUUUUCGCCCCAUAAGUCUUUGUAAUGUCAUUUAUAAACUUGUUUCCAAAGUUAUCACUAAUAGGCUUAAGGUGUGUCUGCCCGAUAUCAUUCAUGAGAGUCAGUCUGCUUUCGUUCCGGGUCGGCAAAUUACUGAUAACGCCCUCCUUGCUUUUGAGAUUUUCCAUAUGAUGAAACUUAAUAAAGCUAAGUCAAAAGGUUGUUUUGCUUUUAAACUAGAUAUGGCAAAGGCUUAUGACCGUGUUGAGUGGAGUUUUCUUGAUGCUAUGAUGAGACGGCUUGGUUUCCAUUCUUCUCUGGUUGACUUACUGAUGAGAUGUGUUUCUACUGUCUCUUUUCGUGUACUUGUGAAUGGCUUUCCAGGUGAUUCCUUUCAGCCAAGCCGAGGCCUACGGCAAGGAGAUCCACUUUCGCCCUUUUUAUUUCUUUUCUGUGCAGAAGCGCUCUCAGGACUGUUGCGCAAAGCUGAAACUACUCAUCUGCUUCAUGGAGCGCGUUUGUGUAGAACGGCUCCACAGAUCAGCCAUCUCUUUUUUGCGGACGAUUGCAUCAUCUUCGGCAGAGCGUGUGGGAAAGAAAUUGAGACUGUUCGAACCAUUCUGAAUCGGUACGAGGAGGCUUCAGGGCAAAAAGUUAAUCUCGACAAAUCGGCCAUAUCUUUCAGUGGAGGGGUUCCGGAAUCUGUGAAACAAGAGUUGGCUGUCCAGUUAGGCGUGAGGCGAGAGGUACAACAUGGAAAAUAUCUCGGCAUACCUAGCUCGGUCGGACGGUCAAAAAUCGAGAUUUUCCAACUGUUAGUGGAUCGAAUCAGGAAAAAAGCUAAGGACUGGAAAAGACGAUACUUAUCAGGAGCAGGAAAGUUGAUUCUCAUUAAAUCCGUCCUCCAAUCCAUACCGACUUAUUUAAUGAGCUGUUUCAGCAUUCCUGACCAGAUCUGUCAAAGGUUGAAUAGUAUCGCUGCUAGUUUCUUCUGGGGGCAGAAAAAUGAUGAGAGGAGGAUUCACUGGAAAAGCUGGCGUAAACUUUGUGUACCUAAAAGUGAAGGAGGCUUAGGUUUUCGUGACUUAAGCCUGUUCAAUCAAGCUAUGCUAGCUAAGCAAUCGUGGAGGAUUCUUCAAAAUGAUUCAACUCUCCUUGCCAGGUCUCUUAAGGCUCGUUAUUUUCCCAGGUCGGACAUCUUAACGGCUAAUCAAGCCCAUAAUCCAUCUUUCGUUUGGAGAAGCUUAUUAGUCGGGAGGGAUCUACUGGUCAAGGGAAUUGCGUGGAGGGUGGGAGACGGGAAAAGGAUUCGUAUUGGCAAAGAUGCUUGGCUACCAGAUGGCAAAGGAAACUUUAAAGCUGCAAGAGUGCAGGACCCUUGGGGUGACAUGAAGAUCAACGAGCUCCUGUUAGAUAAUGCUCCAGCUUGGGAUAUGCAAAAGGUGGAAACAAUAUUGCCCAGGGACGAGCUGUGGAAGAUCACUGAAAAUCGCGGUGUUAAUCUCGGUUCCCCAGAUAGACCUUUGUGGCCUCAUGGUAAAGGUAAUUCAUAUUCGGUCAAAUCGGGAUACCUUCUUGCCUGUACACUUAAGAACCGAGAGGAACCUUCAUCUUCUUCGGAUGAAUCUUCCUUAUGGAAUUGGGUGUGGGGUUUGGCGGUAAUUCCUAAGGUGAAGCUUUUUCUGUGGAAAUGUUUGAGUGGCUGUCUCCCAACUGCCAAAGCUCUUAUCUCCCGUUCUAUCAUGAUGGAUCCCUGUUGUCGUAGAUGUGAUAAGCCCACGGAAACUAUCGAGCACGCUCUCAGGGACUGUCCCUGGGCGACGUUCCUUUGGGAAUCCUCACCUAUUCGACUACAGCCAACAAAUCCGAGAGCUCCGUGGAGUCUGGUUGAGUGGAUUGGCAAAAUCAGAGAGGUUCCGAAAAAGGAGGUUCAUUGUCUUUUUGCAUCUGUUUUAUGGGCUUGUUGGUAUGCUCGUAAUCUUCUUGUGUUCCAGAACAAAAUCUUAUCUCACUCUGAUUGUUUGGUGAUAGCUGUAAGAGCCAUGUUGUCUAAUCCCCUUAGCUCAAGCAUGGUAAGCUCAAAACCAACCAAAGUGGACUGCUCUAGAGCGGCACAGGUGAAGAUUAUUUCCUUUUCUUGACGCAAAAUUCUUUCUUCGCGCGUAAUUAGUUUGCCGAAUCAUAUAAAUACAAAAAUUUAAGUAUAAAUCAAAUUUCAAAAGUAAUCAAAAUCACAACUAUUACUAAUUAUGAUACAUUCAUACGACAAUUUCACCUUUUCAUAACCAACAAAUAUUAAACAAAGGAAAUGGACCUGGAAUGCAGAUGGGAUUCUCUGUGUUGCAGAAUAUAGUGUGUACCACUCUUAAUUUUUUUAUUNCGGAAUCUGUGAAACAAGAGUUGGCUGUCCAGUUAGGAGUGAGGCGUGAGGUACAACAUGGAAAAUAUCUCGGCAUACCUAGCUCGGUCGGACGGUCAAAAAUCGAGAUUUUCCAACUGUUAGUGGAUCGAAUCAGGAAAAAACUAAGGACUGGAAAAGACGAUACUUAUCAGGAGCAGGAAAAUUGAUUCUCAUUAAAUCCGUCCUCCAAUCCAUACCGACUUAUUUAAUGAGCUGUUUCAGCAUUCCUGACCAGAUCUGUCAAAGGUUGAAUAGUAUCGCUGCUAGUUUCUUCUGGGGGCAGAAAAAUGAUGAGAGGAGGAUUCACUGGAAAAGCUGGCGUAAACUUUGUGUACCUAAAAGUGAAGGAGGCCUAGGUUUCCGUGACUUAGGCCUGUUCAAUCAAGCUAUGCUAGCUAAGCAAUCGUGGAGGAUUCUUCAAAAUGAGUCAACUCUCCUUGCCAGGUCUCUUAAGGCUCGUUAUUUUCCCAGGUCGGACAUCUUAACGGCUAAUCAAGCCCAUAAUCCAUCUUUCGUUUGGAGAAGCUUAUUAGUCGGGAGGGAUCUACUGGUCAAGGGAAUUGCGUGGAGGGUGGGAGACGGGAAAAGGAUUCGUAUUGGCAAAGAUGCUUGGCUACCAGAUGGCAAAGGAAACUUUAAAGCUGCAAGAGUGCAGGACCCUUGGGGUGACAUGAAGAUCAACGAGCUCCUGUUAGAUAAUGCUCCAGCAUGGGAUAUAGCAAAAGUGGAAACAAUCUUGCCCAGGGACGAGCUGUGGAAGAUCACUGAAAAUCUCGGUGUUAACCUCGGUUCCCCAGAUAGACCUUUGUGGCCUCAUGGUAAAGGUAAUUCUUAUUCGGUCAAAUCGGGAUACCUUCUUGCCUGUUCACUUAAGAACCGAGAGGAACCUUCAUCUUCUUCGGAUGAAUCUUCCUUAUGGAAUUGGGUGUGGGGUUUGGCGGUAAUUCCUAAGGUGAAGUUUUUUCUGUGGAAAUGUUUGAGUGGUUGUCUCCCAACUGCCAAAGCUCUUACCUCCCGUUCUAUCAUGAUGGAUCCCUGUUGUCGUAGAUGUGAUAAGCCCACGGAAACUAUCGAGCACGCUCUCAGGGACUGCCCCUGGGCGACGUUCCUUUGGGAGUCCUCACCUAUUCGACUACAGCCAACAAAUCCGAGAGAUCCGUGGAGUCUGGUUGAGUGGAUUGGCAAAAUCAGAGAGGUUCCGGAAAAGGAGGUUCAUUGCUUUUUUGCAUCUGUUUUAUGGGCUUGUUGGUAUGCUCGUAAUCUUCUUGUGUUCCAGAACAAAAUUUUAUCUCACUCUGAUUGUUUGGUGAUAGCUGAAAGAGCCAUGUUGCCUAAUCCCCUUAGCUCAAGCAUGGUGAGCUCAAAACCAACCAGAGUGGACUGCUCUAGAGCGGCACAUGUGAAGAUUAAUUGUGACGCGGCGGUAGGAAGUGGGGCUGGGGCUGGUCUGGGAAUUGCUCUGUGCGACGUGGAGAACAAUCAGGUUGGUUAUAGGAUGGGCUUUCUUAAAGGAGUCUUCACGGUUGAGGAAGGGGAGGCUCACGCUGUUCUUGAAGGUCUUCGUUUCAGUGUUGAAAAAGGUUUCACAGAUAUCAUUGUGGAGACGGACUGCCAGCGACUCUUUUGGAGACUACAUAAUCAUGAAGAUGAUCUCUCCCUAUUAGGAGACAUCCUUAAGGAGAUUUACAGCAUUGUGGAUUCUUUGAACCAGGUGGAGUUUAGCUGGUGCCCGAGGGAGGAUAAUUGUGUUGCUGAUAGCUUAGCUAAUUAUGCUUUUGUUUCUCGAUCUGAUUUUAUUUCUUCGAAUGUGUGGCCUUUAUCUGUAAACUCUUCUUUGGUGGUUUAAUGAAAGGCACCUGUUUUCUCUCAAAAAAAAAAAAUGAGGUCUCUCUUAUUAAACACCAUGAGCUCUCUCAAAAGCUAGCUAUGCAUCAAAUAAGAAAUGCAUAGUUCAUUAAUAUCAAUUUUUAAAAAAGGGUUGCAAUCCAACAAAUCGCUGCCUCAAUGGCUGAAUCUGAACUCGUUUCGGUCAAUGUGAGGGAAAUUGGCAAGAUUUACUGGGAAAUAAAAAUAAGAGGAAUAUAUAUAUUUCUUACCACCAAGGAGUGGGAAUCAAAAUCGAAAUAUGACACUAUUUGUCUUACUUAUUUUUAUAUGUAAAUGACACUUUUACUCACAGUAAAUGACAUUUUUAAAUACGGUAAAUAAUACUCAAUACUCCCUCCGUCCGCCAAAAGUGGACCACUUUUACUAUAUUGGGCGUCCGCAAAGAGUAUACCACUUUCCUUUUAUAGAAAUGGUCACACCAUUCACUUUAAUCUUUUAUCCUUACAAACACUCUUUAUUUACAAAAAAACCACCUCAAAUUCAAUUUCAACCACACAUCUCAUAAAGUGGUGGGACCCUUUCUCCACUACAUCAAAAUUAUCACCAAUUUUAUUAAUUCCCGUGCCUAGCCAAAGUGGUCCACUUUUGGCGGACGGAGGGAGUAUUAUAUUGACUUAUUUCUUAAUUUAAUUAACAUUAAAUGUAUUUUUUGUAAUAUAAAUGACACUUUUAAUGCAUACAAAUGAUACUUUCCAAUAAAACGAUAAACGAUACUUCACAAAAUGAUACAUUACAAAUGACAAUUUUAAUAACGUAAAAUGAUAUUUUUAAUGUAUGUAAAUGAUACUUCGUAAAUGAUAUUUUAAUAACAUAAAAUGAUAUUUUUCAUAAAGUCCACCAAUUCUUGACUCAUUUUGCCAUUUGGUCUUUUCACCAAUUCUUAACACAUUCCAUGUUCAGUAAAUUUUUAACUCACAAUAAAGUAGACCCUCAUCCCACUCACAAUAUACUCCAUCAAUUUAUUAAAAUAUGCGUCAUUAUGAAAUGGGUCAAGAAAUAAUGGACGGAUGGAGUAUAUAUGAAAAUUAACAAAAUUAAAAGUGAGACACAAAAUGAGACAUCAAGUGAGGCACUUUGAAUCUCAAUCCGUGUAAAAGGUAUAAAGAAUCGUAGAAGCACAACCACACUAAAGCUCCAAAAUUCUUGAAAUUUUGCAAUUAAUUAUUACUCUCUCCAUCUCCCAAAUAAUUUUCUAAUUUUGUUUUUUAGACAGUCUUCAAGAAAAUUUCUCCUUUUAUUUUUGGAGUAUACAUCACCACUAAAAAUGCCUCAUUUACCUUAUUUUUCAUCGUUUCACUACUUUCAAUACCUCAUGUAUUCUUAUUUUCCACUUUUCAUCUUUAAACUAGUGCUCUUUCUUCCUAGAAAAUUAUUUGAGAAGUGGAGGGAGUAUUAUUUAACAAAAUUCUUGAGAUUUUUGUUGUGCGAUUAUUUUUAUGACUUUAUGAGUUGUAUCUGGGCGAAGGCGGACAAGCAAUCAAUGGCUAAAUGGCGAAUAAAUGAGGGCAAGAAAUAGGAAGUUAGAUUUGAACGGGGUAAAGGUGAAAUUCCCCAAAAGUUUUGUCCUCAUUUGGAAGAAAAAAAACUCCGACUUUUAUCUGUUCAUACCAUAGUACCAUUUGUGGGGUUCCGAAUUCAUUUUGUAGGAUAAAUUUAAUUUUUGUCCUAUGUACUCCUGAAACCUAUGAUGCAAGGAUUCUUCAAAAAUUAGCAUGUACGGCGAAUCGGAUUCUUUUAGGGUGCGAUUCUCUUGGAUUCUCGUCGGAUUCGCACCCGAUUCGCCACGUGGCGUGUCUUUUAAAACAAUUUAUAAAAGUAAACCAGAUUCGUAAAUUUCAUAGGCGAAAUUCACGUAUCUCGUGCACGAAAGGCUACACAAGGUUAUUUUGAUAAUUUUAUUUUCAGUUAUGACUUAUAUAUUGAACUAAUAAUAUUUGAAUCGUUAUAUUGUUGCUCAAUUAACUUAUAUAAUUGAAAAUGUUUAACUUUUGGGUAAAAUAAAAUGUAAAUUACAUAUAAUUAAUUUAAGAAAAUUUAAAUUGUAUAUAUUUUAUAAGCAUUGUAUAUCAUAAAAUUUUAAUAAUUAGAUGUAACCUUGCCGAAUCGCAACCUAUAAUUUUUAAAAACUCGUAUCCCCGUACUCGUAUCGUAUCGCCCCCGCAUCCGCACCUCCGUACCUAUGCAACAUAGUCUGAAACGCUAGUGAGGUUAUUAAAUUUUAACAAAAAAAAACCCUUUAUUAACUUCAAAUUAAUCAUAUUCCUCGUAUGCAUAUAUGAUAUUGAAUCAUUGAUAUAUAUAGAGAGAGAUUUGUUUAUGAAGUUGAUAUAUAGAGAGAAGUUAACUCGUCUAAAUUUAUAUACUGAUGCACGAUAUAUACUUCCUCCGUCCACGAAAGAACUUUCUAUCUUUUUUUUUUUGGGACGUCCAUAAAAGAACUUCUUACCUAUUUUUAGACUAUACCCCUCUACUUAUAAUCCUUUUACUUUUCAUUUUUCACAAUUCCCAAUAUUAAUUAUAACACUUUUUCACCACUCCCAAUACACUCAACUAUCUUUUAUCCACUCUCAAUACACUCAACAAUAUUUUUUCUUAAAACUCGUGCCACUCCUUUCUUGAAAGUUCUUUCAUGGACGGAGGGAGUAUUAUUUUUAUUUUCAGUUUUCGAAAUUACUACUUUUUUUAAUGAAAGUCAUAAAUGGCCUUGAGAGUGAAAGAAAAGAGACGGUUGAAUCUAGUGAAGCAAUUGAAGAGACGAUGUUUAAAAUUUCUUUAUUACUUAUAUGAUUUAUCAAAAAAAAAGCUUGAACACCUAAGUUGGUCAUCGCGAUAGACUACAUUCCGAUAGUAGAUGCACAAUAUGUUAUUGAGUAAAUUAGUUACCCAAUAAUAGAUAUGAUCACAAUGAAUAUUUACACAUUAUCGAGAAGUGGAAUUAGUUGUUAAAUUUUUUAUCAAGUGUAAUUCUAAAAUGUUAAAAUUGAAAUAGUGAAAUAAAAAUUAGUUAUUGAUAUAAAAAAAUUUAAAAAUUAGUUGCAGUUAUCAUAUUAUUUUUAGAUAAAAAAUUUAGAAGUUGUCCUUUUUAAUUUACCUUCACAUUCACUAUCUAUCGCCCGUAUUCACUAAAUCUGUUGUCGCUGGAUCAUUGUUGGGUCGUUGCGCUGCCACCUUCUCCGAUUUUGAAUUGUAGUCGCGCCGUUGUUUUUCGGUUGGAAAUCAGAGCGUGGUCCUCCUGUUGUAAAAUUUAUCCCCGAUUCUUACGUCUAUUGUGCAUCGUCGCCUAAAUUCACACAGCCGCCUGAGGUUCUAGCUCCCUGUCGCGCCGCCUUCGAUGCUGAGUCACAACCGCGUUGUUGCCUCCGUUUGUGAGAAACUAUUCUAGAAUUCACAAUUGAAUAGAUAGUGUUGGUUUGAAUCCGAAUUAUAAAGCUAGAAUUCAUAACUAUGAAUAGUCUUGGUUGUGAAUUCGAGUUUUAAAGUUAGAAUUCACAACCAAGACUAUUAAUAGAUGUGAUUUGAGUUCUCAAGUUAUAAUUCAUAACUAGAAAUUGUCUUGGUUGUGACUUUGCCACCACGAAUAGGUGAGGAAGAAGAACUCAUAAUUAGGAAGAAGAAUUCAGAGCGUGGUCCUCCUGUUGUAAAAUUUAUCCCCGAUUCUUACGUCUAUUGUGCAUCGUCGCCUAAAUUCACACAGUCGCCUGAGGUUCUAGCUCCCUGUCGCGCCGCCUUCGAUGCUGAGUCACAACCGCGUUGUUGCCUCCGUUUGUGAGAAACUAUUCUAGAAUUCACAAUUGAAUAGAUAGUGUUGGUUUGAAUCCGAAUUAUAAAGCUAGAAUUCAUAACUAUGAAUAGUCUUGGUUGUGAAUUCGAGUUUUAAAGUUAGAAUUCACAACCAAGACUAUUAAUAGAUGUGACUUGAGUUCUCAAGCUAUAAUUUAUAACUAGAAAUUGUCUUGGUUGUGACUUUGCCACCACGAAUAGGUGAGGAAGAAGAACUCAUAGUUAGGAAGAAGAAUUCACGGUUAGCAAAAAAUUGAAGGUUGGAAAAAAAUCAUUGUUGUAUUGAGACCGCCGCGAUGUGGCCUCCAGUUCGAAGUCCUUGUCGUAUCACUGCCUCUAGUUCUAAGUUGCAGUAGCCCCGCCGCCUCUGAUUUUGAGAAGUUGUUCUAAAAUUCACAACGUAAUAGAUAGUAGGGGUGUGCAUUCGAUUUUCAAUUCGAUAUUUUGCUGAAACCAAACCAAAUUUAUAUUUGAAUUUUUUUAAAAAAAAAUGAACCAAAAUAUACAAAAAUUUUAGAAUUAAAACCGAACCAAACCAAAACAACCCAAAAAAGCAGGAAAAAAAUGAAAAAUAAGAAGAAAAAAUAGAGCAAAAUUUAAGGAAUUAUGGCCAAAAAAUAAACGAACUUUAAAAAAGUACAAUUUUCAUCUGAACUUUUAAUUAAGCCAAAAAAUACAUGAAUUUAUAUUUUUGUUGUAAUUUUUAUCCAAGUUUGACUUUCAAUGAAAUUAGAGCUUAGUUGAUAGUUGAAAUUAAGUCAAUAUAUUAAUUUGGGAAAAGGUGCAGAUAAGCCCUUUAAGUGGUAGCCGUUAUAGUGUAUAACCCCCCUUACUCACUUUGUGUGCAACUAAACCCCCGAACUCAAAAAAAUCGUGCAAUUAAGCCCAUCUGACCAAACGGCGUUAUCCACCGUUAGUCAACCAUAAUUUUUUUUAUUUUUUAAUUAAAAUAUGGGGCUCACUGGUAAUCCUUCCUCAAUCCCUGCCAGCAUCAUCAGAUUCGAUNAAUUGGUCGUGUUCGGAAUUCUAGGUUUGUAAUUCUGUGAUUCUUGAGCGGAGAGAGAGUCAGAGAGAGGUUUUGUAUCAUACUGUAUAAUUUUUCUGUAUUAUGAAUCUUGUUUGAACUUCUUAAUUAGUGGUGAUCGAUGAGGUUCUUCAGUGGCUUGGUAAUGAGCAUUUCUGGAAAUUUUGGUGUGUGUUUUAACUUUAAAACCUUCUGCAUUUUCUCUCGUCUUCACUGAAAACUAAUUGAUCAUAAAAGUUCUCAAAUUUUGUGGCUCUGUAUCAUAGUUGGAGUUUUCCAUAUCACUAAAAAUCUCAGUAGAGAAACAAUUAGAUAAAAUAAAUAAAUUUGAAGAAAAAGAGCUAUGAUGAAUUGAUGUCAAAAGUGGGAGAGGUGGGGAAAUGAAGCUCUCGAAAAUCUUUGUGUUGAUGUCGCUCUUCUUAUUCAAAGUCGGCGCAUCUGGAGGAGGUUGCCGGUGGAGGCGCCAACGAUGAUGGGGUUCCAGGGUCCUCCUUGUUGCGGAGGUACACCAAGAAGAGGCCACCCCUGACGGCAAAUUUGCAGCCAAUGCGGGGAACGCUCAUGGGGUGGCGACAUAGUAUUUGAACGGCAAGGGCGGAGGAAAAGCUUGAAGAAUGGAUUUACAAUUAGAGAGAGUGAGAUUUACAUGAGAGAGGGUAUUAUAAAUUUUUAAAAAAAAAAGUUUGAUUAACGGUGGAUAACGCCGUUUGGUCAGAGGGGCUUAAUUGCACGGUUUUUUUUAGUUCGGGGGUUUAGUUGCACACACAGUGAGUAAGGGGGGUUAUACGCUAUAAGGGCUACCACUUAAAGGGCCUAUCUGCACCUUUUUCCUAUUAAUUUUUGCCUUCUUUGACCUUCUUGCUUCUAAAUACCCAUCAUCGUCAUCAGAAGUUAGACCAACAUCACGUGAACUUCCGACUGCCAACUAAGCUCUAGUUCCACCGAAAGUCAAACUCAUGUGAAAAUUGCAACAAAAAUAUAAAUUCAUGUAUUUUUUGGCUUAAUUGAAAGUUCAGGUGAAAAUUACAUUUUUUUUCUAAAAUUCAUGUAUUUUUUUAUCAAAACCCCAAAAUUUAAUUGGAUUUAAUAUUAUAAUUCAAUUUUUUUGUUAUGUUCGUCUUUUAAAACUCAAAUCAAGCUGAGCCGAAAAAUUAAAUUGUUUUAAAAAUAAAACCGAAUCAAAUCAAAAAACUGAAAAAAUUGAACCAUAUUUUAAUAUUUCGAUUUUGAACGGUUCGGUUAUUAGGUUUCAAAUAUUUUGCUCAUCCCAAAUGAAUAGCAUUGCUAAUUGUGAUUUUUUUUAAAGUUAGAAUCCACAAUUAAGAUAAUUUCAGGAUUAGAAAGUAAAAAUUAAUAAUAAGGGUAAAAUUAUCGUCUUACCCAAAAAAAUGAUUAAUUUAAAAAUACUUUUUAUUUUUGUUAUAUAAGAAUCGAUCAUUUUGUAUAUUGACUUAUUUUUAUUUUGAUUUUUAGCUAUUGAAUAGCCACUUAUGCGUUUAUGAGUAGAUAUUUAUUGUGCUGAUCUAUGAAACCAGUUAUGCGUUUAUUGAUAGAGCAUUGUACUUAUAUUUUAUCAUUGAUUUAUGAUUAAAGGCAGUCAUAUAAAAAUAGUUUUAAGAAAGUUUAGUUAAAAUAAUUACACGAGGAGAAAUUCUAGAAUACAUCUUGCNNNNNNNNNNNNNNNNNNNNNNNNNNNNNNNNNNNNNNNNNNNNNNNNNNNNNNNNNNNNNNNNNNNNNNNNNNNNNNNNNNNNNNNNNNNNNNNNNNNNNNNNNNNNNNNNNNNNNNNNNNNNNNNNNNNNNNNNNNNNNNNNNNNNNNNNNNNNNNNNNNNNNNNNNNNNNNNNNNNNNNNNNNNNNNNNNNNNNNNNNNNNNNNNNNNNNNNNNNNNNNNNNNNNNNNNNNNNNNNNNNNNNNNNNNNNNNNNNNNNNNNNNNNNNNNNNNNNNNNNNNNNNNNNNNNNNNNNNNNNNNNNNNNNNNNNNNNNNNNNNNNNNNNNNNNNNNNNNNNNNNNNNNNNNNNNNNNNNNNNNNNNNNNNNNNNNNNNNNNNNNNNNNNNNNNNNNNNNNNNNNNNNNNNNNNNNNNNNNNNNNNNNNNNNNNNNNNNNNNNNNNNNNNNNNNNNNNNNNNNNNNNNNNNNNNNNNNNNNNNNNNNNNNNNNNNNNNNNNNNNNNNNNNNNNNNNNNNNNNNNNNNNNNNNNNNNNNNNNNNNNNNNNNNNNNNNNNNNNNNNNNNNNNNNNNNNNNNNNNNNNNNNNNNNNNNNNNNNNNNNNNNNNNNNNNNNNNNNNNNNNNNNNNNNNNNNNNNNNNNNNNNNNNNNNNNNNNNNNNNNNNNNNNNNNNNNNNNNNNNNNNNNNNNNNNNNNNNNNNNNNNNNNNNNNNNNNNNNNNNNNNNNNNNNNNNNNNNNNNNNNNNNNNNNNNNNNNNNNNNNNNNNNNNNNNNNNNNNNNNNNNNNNNNNNNNNNNNNNNNNNNNNNNNNNNNNNNNNNNNNNNNNNNNNNNNNNNNNNNNNNNNNNNNNNNNNNNNNNNNNNNNNNUUAAUUUAUUUUUAUUUAGUAGAUAUAUUAUUAUUAUUAUUAUUAUACUAUAUAUAUAUAUAUAUAUAUAUAUAUAUAUAUAUAUAUAUAUUAUGUUUAACAUUUUUAUUUAUUUAUUUAAAUUAUCGUUCAAUUUCGAUGAUGGUCGUGCAUCGCACGAGCGGACACAUACUAGUAAUAAUUAAUAUACAAUUCUUAAAGUGAUAUGGAUGCAUAUAUAUUUUUUUUAAAUAGUAAUUCACUCCGUCCAUCAAUUCAUGUUCUACUUUCCUUUUUGGUCCGUCCAUCAAUUCAUGUUCUAUCCAUUUUUAGUAAUUAUUUAUACAUUUUUUAAUUGGUGGGUUCCAAUAAACAAUAGACAUUUUCUCUACUCAAGUAAUAAACAAUACACUUUGUGGGUCCCUUUGUUCACUCAACUAAUAAAUAACACACUUUGUGGGUCCAUUUCUCCACUCAACUAAUAAACAACAUUUUUUCUUAAAAUUUGUGUUUCUUCUCCUAGGUCAUGAAUUAGUGAAUGGAGGGAGUAUUAUUUUUUAACUUUUACGUCUAAAUAUUUAUCUCAAGUUCUUAAAUUAAAAACACAAAAAAGUGAAAUGAUGAGUAUAACAUUCGAAUAUUGAAUUAAAAUACAAUUUACAAAUCUUUGAAAAAAAAAAUCUUCUUAUACUAACAUUUAGAGCAUCCACAGUGGGACUUACUUGAUAGAAGGGGGACCACAAUGAGUAAGGAGGCCACGGUGGGGUGACUUAAUAGCUUACUUGAUCUUUUUAGUUUUGAUUUUUAUAUUUUUCAUUUAAAUUUAAUUGCACAAAUUUAAAUAAUACAAUUUACUUCAAAUUUAAAUUACAUUAAUUUAAAAAUCCUACAAAUUACAUUAAAAAAAAACUAAAGACAUAAUUUAAAAUUACUUAAAGAAACUAAAUGACAUAAUUAAAAUUACUUAAAAAAACUAAAUGACAUAAUUAAAACCCUAAAAUUCCUAUCUAGAAUUUUCGUUUAAAAUCCUAAAAAAACUAAAUGACAUAAUUAAAACUAAAAAACUCAAUUCCAGUUUUUUUUUUUUUUUUUUUUUAUUCAUCGCGCGUGUGGAACGCACGCUAUCAAAUUUGGGCACCAGGCCUUACCCGAUAGAUCGGGUAGGCCUCGAGUAAGGCGUGGCUACAGUGGCCUUACCCGAUGCCAAGCUUACUCGAGUAAGCUUGAUCGGGUAAGGCACUGCGGGUGCUCUUAGAAGCAAAGUAAUAAAAUUGAAAAACUAAAUAACCAGAAAAAUUUUAUAUAAUUAAGUGAUUAUAUUAUUUUUGAGCCAGUCUUAUCUAGUUCGGGCUUUUUUCGAGUCAAUCUUAUUGGAUUGUCGGACUAUUCGACUACGAACUAUUUGGAUUGAAAUUUUAUUAAGUUAAAAAUUUUCAGUCAUAAUAUUUUUGAAUUGUUGAUUUAUUCGGAUCAGCUAACGAAUUUCGAUCUGGAUUGAAAUAUCCAAUAAAAACACAGAGAAUUAAAAGUGACUAACCUCAAAUGUAGGGAUGUCAAUUGGGCCAGCCCAUCUGAAUUUUCAGGUAGCCCUAUUGGGUUCCGGGUUAAUUGAGCGCUGGCUAAUCGGGCUGGAGAUUUUUUUGGGUUGUAAAUCUUCAACCCUAACCCUAAAUGUUCGGGUUUCGGGCUAGCCCAUCAGGCUAACUAAGUUAAAGGCGUAAAAAUAAAAUUAUCAUUUGUAUUUUAUUAUUUUAAUGAUCUAAUGUAUAAUGUAUAAAAUAUACAUAGAUAUUAAAGAUAUAAAUUAUAUAUCUUUAAUAUCUAAAGAGGCGCAGCCGCGCGGUUGCCUGGUGGGAGUGGAUGCGCCGGAGGGGAGGGAGGCAUGGCGGCGUGGUGGGAGGUGGUAGAUCGGUCGGCGGUGGAGGAAGAAUGGCUGAAGUGAGGCUGGAGGCGUGCUAGUGACUAGUGAGGCUGGAAAAAUUUCAGUUUUAGGCCAAGCCUUAAAGGUCUAAACUCUAAAAUAUUUAUUAAAAAAAAAAAACAGUAGCCCAACGGGCUGGUCCGCCAGUUCGACGGGCUGACCCGCUCCAACCCGUCAGUCCGAACGGGCUAGUCCGAUUAGCCCGAUUGAUAAUCGGGUUGCGAUUUUUCAACUCUAACCCUCUAAUUUUGUCGGGUUACUUGGGUCAGCCCACGAGUUUCGAGCUGGAUUGACAUCCCCACUUAAAUGUAUCAUGUAGUAUGUAUUUUAUUGCAGGAUGUAAUUUAGGACAUUUGUAAGUUUUUUUUUUUUUUUUUGGGGGAGUUGGGGGAGGGGAAGCAGUGAGUUUUGAACCGGAAUUUCACUGUUUACACAUAAGAGGUUGCACAGCUUGGUGUCCCUUUGGGCAGGACAUUUGUAAGUUUUAAGAAAAAGGAAAAUCGUGUUGAGUUCCAAGUUUAAUAAGAUAGAUAUUGAAUAUUUAAAUCCAAAUCCAAUAGUGGGGUUCAAUAAAUAGUCCCGUUUUGUGUUUGAAAAAAUUGAGCGAUGCUGACAUUCAAGAACAAACAUAUGGGCAAAAGAUGAGCUGUUCACAACUCCAAACUCCCUCGCCCCCACACAAACCCUCCUUCUCCGUACAAUAAUACGUCGCUUCUCUUGAUUUUUACAGCUGAUUUUCUCAACUUAUUUGCUGCUAGAAUGCCGCUUUUAGUGUUUGCUAAAUCCUAUUUUUUUUUCAUGGGUUGUGUGAAAAUUUUGUAUAUGUUUCUGCAGAUUAGCUACUGACUGCAGCAGUCCAAGACGACAUUUUUUCUUUCCGUUUUUCCUUCUGAUGAAGAAGUUUUCUCAAGCCUGCAAAUUGUAAAAAGGUGCGCGCGAUUUCACUUUUUAUUUGUGGGUUCUUGUUUUUCUUUAACAGUUAUUAUGUAAUCCUUUUCUAUCUCUAUUUUGUGCUCCUGUUUCAUUGCGCCUUUAAUUUCAGUUAAGUGGAAAAAUGACGUUUAUUUAAGGAGAAUAUAUGAUUGAAAUAUGUCUACUUGAGAAAGUUGUAGUCUUUUUGUGUGUUAUGGUUUAGUUGGAGCUGGCACAAAUUUAUUGAAUUUUAAUCAAUUUGAUGCCAUCUUUGGGGUAUUUACCUUCUCCAAAAUGGAAAAUGUUGAAAAGAAGAAACUGUGGAGAUUGUUGAUAAGAAUUAUAAGUGCAAAGGAAUAUAAAGGGUACUUAAUACUCUGUUACAUGGUUUAGUUAUAUUUAUCCCAAGUGAAAUUAUGGAACUGUUUAACACUUGAGACGUAAUUAGGAAGAUGAUAUAUUGCUUGGUUUUUUUUCAUGUGUUUAUUGCAUGCUAACAGUUUGAUAUCAAUCGUCUAAGUUUAGAAUCUACCUUAUUCAGUUAGGGGUUUGCCGUUAGCAGUUUCUUACAUGAGUUUCGGUCAGGAAAAGACCUUGAUUGCAUGCCUGUAUAUAUUUCUCUUUUGGCUGAAUCCUUUAGAACUAUGAAGGCUGUAGUUUUCCUAAAUUGUAAGAUUUUGAUUGAUCUUGCACAACGCCGUGUUGUGGCCAAAUAUCACUGCACACGUUCCUUUCUAAAUUCUGCUUCAUUUAAUUGUUCACACAAUGACACAAUUGAAUCCUUCUUGAUGUUUUAGGGCUAGAGACGCUCACAUUAGAAUAUAAAAUUAUGAUUUUCUGCAGAAAAUAAACGCAACGUCACUAUGUCAAGGCAUGCUCAACUCCCUCCUCGCUGCCCUCUCCAGAAGAAAACCGUAGCUCCCCAGGUUAAUGCAUCCGUUUCCCCAUUCUCAGGCAUAGAUACUGAGUUGCAUUCCAGGCAAAUUGGACAGUACAAAAUACCCUCCGAGAGCUUCAUAUUAGACGAGCAACCACCUUGGCUGAACGAUCUAUUGAAUGAUUUAGAUUUGGACACUGAUAGUUCAUUACCAGAUCUGGAUCAACUUAGCGAGAAAGAAACCACUGAGCUUGAUGAUGAAUUGGGGUCUUAUUGCAUGUAUGGCCCUAAUUCACCUCGAAUGAGAAACAUGUUAGGCUUCCCUGAAAAUGAAAUUGCAUCAGCUUUUUCCGAGUAUGCUGUCCAAAAUUCUCCACAGCAUUUGGAUGGAUAUAGUUCUAUCUCUGGAGUACAGUCGGACUCAUAUAGGGAUGCACGUGCUUCAGUUGAUGAGAUCAUUUCCGACAAGAAGCGGUAGUUGACCCCAUUUUUGACACAUUUUUUUUGCACAACGUCAUUUCUUGUCUUAUUGUUGUUUGAUGUGUUAUAAUCGGUCCAAUAUAGUUCACUUAUGACAGCUAGAUUUCACAUCACUUGCUGGAUGAAUAUUUUACUGCUACAACUUUUCCUUGAUAAUAUUGUCUUUAUAACGGCCGUGCUCACUCUAGUUAUGUUAUCCUACCAGCAUCAUGAAAGUUGAAAUAACUUGUUUUUACUGAAGGUCUCAUAAAAUCAUGGUUGUUACUGCUUUAUCAACUACCAAUAUCGAAUAAGUUUUGUUUUACAUCGGGUAAAACCAAGUCUAGUGGUUAGGGAUCUAAGCAACCAGUAAAAGAAAAUCAUUGAAUGUCUGGUGUUGUGUUCGAAAAUGUUUGGCGAUAUCAUUUUGGUGGGAAUUGUAUUGGGGAGUACAUAUUAUAUUGUAUUUGAUUUUACUUUGGAGAUUCGGAAUACUUUUGAAGAUGUAAUACUAAGCAAAUCUGGAUUAUUUAUAUUCUUCUUUCAUCUGGUGAAAUAAUUUCAACAUCUUAAUUAAGGAUUGGGUGGAGUAGGUCAUAAGUGUUAUCACUUGUAAGAUCUUGAUAGUGAUAGUCUAUCAUGGCCAGUUUUUGCUUCAAACUGCUAAAACAACAUAGAGAUUCUGCAUGCUAGUACCGUUUUUAUUUAUACUUUCUAUGUUUUUCCUAAAUCUUACAUCUUUUCCUAUUCCAUCUAAUAUGUGUUAAUGUAGUUUUCAUGAAAAUUUUCAUAGGUGUAACAUUUUCCUUUUAUUGAAAGGAUUUUUCCUUAUGAUAGACAUUGUCGUUUUAUAUGCAGCCACCCUGGGCAGAGGUCUAGAGCUCGAAAACUUCAAUAUAUUUUUGAACUGGAAAGGACUGUUAAUGUUCUUCAGGUACAAAAUCCCUAAGAAGGAUUUACUAUUUAGUUUUUUAAUUUAUUUUUAGUGAUAAAGUCAUCUCUUGCAUAUUACCCAUUCAUAUGUGGCCUAUAGUUAAGCAUGUGCAUAGAGAAAUAUUCUAGUUUUUUAUACAUAUAUUGCAUAUAUGAAUCCAAUUAUCCUCUGUGGCCAAAGUUGGUUUUUCCCCUUGAUGGAAAGAGUUUCCUCAAAAAUGUUCUCGAUCAGGUAAUCUCUCGUAAUUGCACAGGUACCGUGCAGGUAGUACAUUAGAAACCAUAUAUAUUAUGGUUUGAAUUUUUUUGAAUAAUUUUGUAUAUUUUGGGAUACUGCGUCUAUUUUAUGAUGUCUAGAAAGGUACAUAAUCCAAAACACUGUAACUAUAUUAGCUAGGGGACGUUUGGAGUGGUGGAUGUGAUCGAUAAAAUUAAUAAGAGUGAUAGGAUUGGAGGAUGAUUAAAUAAUCAAUCCAACUUUGGGGUGAUAAAUAAUCUUCCAAUUGCAUGAUUAGGGUGCGCGGGCUUAGUUAUCCAUCACGGGGCGAAUCAUGCAAACCAAACACUUGAUGAAGUUGAAUUAUUUUAUCAGUCAUGCCUUUUCACUCACCAAACGCCUCCCUAGAGUAUUGAAACCAGUAUCUUUCCUGAUGGCUUUAUGCAUAUACUUUUAUGACCAACCAUGUGAAAGCAUGCAUAAUUUCAAGUAGGAUCUGAACAUUAUGGGCGAAUUCUUUAACACCCAUUGGUUUUUCAAGCUGGUACGUUUAACAUCUUUAUUGUACAAGAGUCUUAGUAUCUCGACCUGAUUACCAUUCUUAAUGAUGUUAUAACUGCUUGUUUCCAUAUUUAUUGCUUUACUUUUAGUGGCUCAGUAUUUUCUUCCCUUUUUUCUGUGAUUUGAUUCGCGGGUUCAUGAUGGUGCAGAAUCUUGGUGCCGAAUUGGCUGUCAGAGUUGCUUCCCUAAUACAGCAGCAUGCUGCUUUGUCCUUGGAGAAUAACACGUUGAACCAGCGACUUUUAAGAAUGAAGCAGGAGCAAUUCAUUGUAGAUAGUAAGUAUAUUAUGAUGAUUUCCGAGAUUUAUGUCAUAUAUAGAUAAAAAUAAAAUAAAAAAAUCCUUCAUUGUCAAAAUUUAAGUGAAGGUAUAACCCGGUUGUACGGUACACCCGGGUGUACCCAAGACCACCUCAAUACACAAUGAUUAAGAAUUUGUUGAUGAGACGAAUCCACAUGGAGUAGCUUAUGCUGUGCUUUUUUAACAUUUGAGUUGCAUGCAUAUGCUCGUAUCUUUGUUUCUAUUACCAGAAAGCUUAUCUAACCUAUGUAGAUCAUCUCGAGCUUAGCAUUUCUCAUUUAUGCAGAUGAGUACGAAACCCUAAAGAUAGAAGUAGAGAGGUUGAGAAGUGGUUUAGCCGUUUCAACCGCUGUCAACAAGUUCAUCAGCACGUCACGGUCACGAUCCAUUGAUGGCGCCAUAUGGGACAUGUUGGAGAUGCAUAAACUUAAUCUGAACUGAAAUAGACGCCGGUGGCCUCCUUCGUGGGCGAAGCUCAUCACUUUGGUUUUCGACUUUGCAGCAGCAGCCGAUGGCUUAGUUAGGGCUACUUUUUAUGGUUAGCAAAGAAUACCAAAGUUUUAGACUAAUGGUGUUGGUAGUUUGUACCCUUUGAACCGUUUCAUUUCCCACUUUUUAUCAUCAUAAUAUAAUAAUAUGCAUAAGUUGGGCAGGAAAAAAUGGAAACCAACCAGCCCCCAAACAUACUUUGUACUGCAAACAUUUCAAUUUAGAUGAGUCAAGCUCGAGCCUGAUCAUUUUGCGAAUUUCGUCGGGCCUCGAAUUUUUGGGCCCGACCUAGUCCAAACCAAGCUUAUUUUGCUAGCUCUAUCUAAUACAAUCUGCACAUCGAUGCAACCCAUGUUGUGCUUGGAUAGUAUGGCGAUGUUAUGUGUUACUAUUAUGCAGCAUAUUUUUUUUAAAAAAAAAUUCUCAUUUAUAAUGGUACUUUUUAAAAAUAGUAUGUGGUCCAUAUCCACUCUACACACAUUAAAUAGGUCUCAAUCCACUUUUUACUCU